rnacentral:lncRNA from 1 species
GUUACUUCUUUGAGUAUUCCUCUCCGUCUGUUCAAGGUGCUCUUUACCCAGUGAAGGGAGAUGUGCAGCCUGCUCUUGUGCUGUACGAAUGCAUCUUUUGGUGCCUGGCACCGGAAGUAUGAGGAUAAUGGAGGAGAAACAAUAUUUGAAAUGUUUGGAGCCAGAAGCUAAUCUGUGGAAAAUUCUUCCAAUCUUCACAUAUGUAAAACUAAAAUUAUUUUAGACAAUUUUUGUCAUACAAAGAGAUAAUCAAGGAGUAUAUAUCCAAAAGAGGUGGCCCAUCUUGGCAAUGGCAGUGACACCAGAACAACCAGCACCUCAGCAGCAGUGGUGCCAACAUCCCCAGAAAACUCAGGAGCAGCAGCACAGGUGGAACAUUCAUCAGCAGCUCCCAAACCCAUAGAGAGCCUGCAGAGAGCCAGGAAGAAGUUCAAGCUCCUGAGCAGAGCAUAUGAUCUGACUCCUAUCUACCUCUCUGGACCCAUGUCCUUUUACCACUUAACUUGCAUUUCAUACUCCAGUACUGCCAUGCUGUUGUAUGAACACAUACAUUUCUCAAGUUCUUUCUUCUCUGCUUGUGUGUUUGCCACGUAUAUUCACAUGGUGAAUUCUGAUUCAUUCAUUGAAAUGAAAAUGAGAUAUCAAUGCCUCCCAGAAACUUUCCCUUUCAAUGCCAUUCUGAGUUAGAUGCCCCUCAUCAGGGUUCAUCUCUCUCAUUAUACUCCCUUGUAAUCGUUUGUUUGCUUUUCCCCAUAGUCUUCAUUAUGGACUUGGUACAUGGUGAAGGGAAGCAACAUGUUUUUGCUAUUCCAUCCCCUUAUAUAGUCACUGGGAUGUGUUGUCCUUCAAUAAAUAUUGAAUCAAUUACUGGAUGUGGAAAUGCAGCUAUUGGAAAUGUUAAUAAUGUGGGUUGUUGAUGUAAAAAAGUGUCCUGUGGGGAGGCAGAUUAGUGUAGAGGAAAGAACAUGAACUUAGAACUGCAGCAGAUAUGGUUCACGUCUUCACUUGACCAGUUGUUUAACUUCUGAGGCUUUGUUUUCUCAUCUGAGAAAGAGCGAAAAGAAAAUCUAUCCUUCACUGUUCUUAAGAGAUUUGGAAAUAAAAUAAUGUUUGUAAGACACCUGGCAUGCAGAGUUCAUCCCAUUAAUGUUAGUGAGAAGUCAUAAUGAUGG